CUCAGCCCCCCUUCCCCGCUCCCUCCGCGGCGCCAUGUGGGUCUCGCCGCGCCCCGCGGUGCUCCUGCUGCUCAUGGGGGUCCUGCGCUAUGGCGGAGCCUCAGGUCUUCUUGAGCUCUCCUUGGGAAAAUUCAGAAAUGUGCUACUUAACCAGACCAAUCCAGUGGAGGCUGUAAUCAGGAACAUCGCCAGCAAUGUGACUGUGGUUAUUUUUCAAGUGCAUGCCCAGCAGAAUGAUGUGGUGAUAUCCUUUGAUAAGACUCCGUCAGUGAACAGCUCAGGAGUCGGGGUGGACAGAGGGCUGGUGUCCGUCCUUCGGCCGGAGCAGACGGUGUGCACGUGGUACCUGCGCGCCCUGGCUGCCGGCCAGGUGCUCAGCACCGCCAUCUCCAUCCCCUACAUGGAGAGAGAUCCUGUUCCUGGGGGCUGCAAUCUAGAAUUUGACUUGGAAGUGGAUCCAAAUAUUUACCUGGACUACACAUUGGUUGAUAUACACAUCAAGUUUGCCCCUGCAAACUUGGGAUAUACCAGAGGAGCAAGCCCCCCGUCCUGUGAUUCAGGGACUGGCCAGAGCUCCCGCUGGCGGCUGCGCUAUGAAGUGUACCAGUACUUCCUGCCCGAGAAUGACCUGUCCGAGAUGGCGCUCAUGAGCCACAUACGGAAAAUGUCUGGGGUGCACAGUGUCAAAGCCAAUGGCAUUAAGAUGCUUACGCUGACAGCUGAUGACAAGACCAAUGUCUACUUCUCCUCACUUCCUGGGCAAGGUGUGAUCUACAAUGUCAUAGUGUGGGAUCCUCUUUGGAACACUUCUGCUGCAUACAUACCUGUGCAUACAUAUGCCUGCAGUUUUACUGACCUGGUAGAUAACUGCUCUUCCCUCAGUAAACUCUCUACCAAAGUAUUCUUCACUGCUUUUGCUGUUCUUGGUCUUUUCACUUGCUUUUUUGGACACAGAUUCUGGAAAACAGAUUUAUUCUUCAUGGGCUUCAUUGUCGCAGCAUUUGUCUUCUUUGUGUUCAUUACCAGGGUAACUGACCUUAGCUAUGAUGUGCGUCUUAUUUUGACGGCAGUGGCUGGAAUCAUUGGAGGCCUGCUCUUGGUUGUGAGCUGGUGGAGAUUUGGCUCUGUCCUGCUCAGCAUGUUUGUUAUUGGACUCGUGUUGGGAUUUCUCUUCUCCUCAACACUCUUCUUUACCCCCCUAGGAGACUACAGGGUCUUCCGUGACGAUGUGGUGUUCUGGGUGACCUUUACUUGUGUAGCCUUGAUGAUUCCAGUGCUUUUUGUUGGCUGCCCAAGAAUUCUGAACAUCUUGGCUUCUGGAAUAGUGGGCUCUUACACGGUGGUCCUGGCCGUUGCUUGUUACGUCUACACAAGCCUUGCUUACAUCACCUUAGACCUGCUCAGAAGGGUCCUCAACAAUUACUUCAGCAGAGCUUACACCAAUGUGCCUUUUCAAAGGAAUGACUUCAUCAUCCUGUCAGUGUGGGCAAUGCUGGCCCUCAGCGGGGUCACUGUGCAGCUCCGCCGGGAGAGGAGUGAGGUGCCCUUCCCACCACAUCCCUAUCUCACCUGGAAGAGGGAAAGGGAGCGUAGAAGCACCAAUGUCUUAGACCCCAGCCAUCAUAUCCCUCCCCUGAGAGAGAGGAUCCACAACAAGCUGCUGCAUAUCAAAGAGUUCUUCCAGAAAGACCAGCCAGCUGGAGAGAGAACUCCACUUCUUCUGUAACUUGCCAAAUAACUGAUGGGAAUGGAGAGGGGGAACUGGGAAUGGUGAGAUGAUUACCAUGUUCCUGAAUGUAGUAUUGGAAAAGGGAAGGUGUUGAUCACCCUGCAUCCAUUGGUGUGCUGUGCUGAGCUUCCAAGAACUGACUUCUCAAAACCAGCUCUACUGCUGCUCACUGCUGGAAGAGCCACCUCAGGUGUAUGGAUUGGGGGAUUUCUGGUGCUGAGCACACUGCAGAGAAUGAAUUGUCUGCCAUUCUUCAAAAACGUAAACCUUCACCUUGGGAAAUGGAAAGAGACUGCAGCUGGAGGGUUUUCCCUGUGCCUGUUCUCUGCUGGUGCCUGAGGAGUGCUGCCAGCACGUGCUUCUUCCAAGACUGCAGUGACAGUUUCCCUCCUUGCUGAGCAGUUAGUUAAGGCAGUUGUCAGAGCAACCUCAAAGUACUGCCACAGACCAACAACCCUCUUCUGUAUUUGGAAGCCAAACCAGAAGUCAGCCACGAAGCUGAAUUCAGCAUCAAAUGGAUAGAAAUGCCUCUUGACACCAGUGCGUGGUUGAAAAGAUGCUUCUAGAAACAAGAACUUCAACAGCUGAACCCAAAAUUCCUUGUAAGUUUGCAACAACAGAACACUCCAGUGAAAAAAGAUGUUGCUUCUGGUAAGUCAGCAGCUUGCAAGCCAUGGCAGAAAUGCAAAAUCUAGAUUAGAGAAGCACCAUCAAAGCUUUACAGAUAAUAUAAAAGCAGACAAGAAUAUUUUGUGCUUGAGCUAAAAUGUUCCCCCAGAAUUUCCCCACGGCUGUUUCACAAGUCUGGAAAUGGCCAUAACUUUUUUCCAUGCAUGUGAAUGUCCUCAAUGUGUUCCUAAGCCUAGCAAGAAGCCAAGGUGCUCUGCAGAGAAGCAGCAGUUUUUCCAUUUCUAAAGCAGCCUGUGAGAAUGUGGAGGCCUGAUUUACCUGUCCUGUCAGCACAUGUAUUAAUCCACUGAAAACCAGUAUUUACUACCUGCUAAUGCUCCUUUCUCCCUUAUUUUCUCUUAAAAGCACCACGGGAAGGAGCAGCAACAGAGAGAACAGAACAAAGGUACUGAGCUGCUCCUAAGUCAGUUCAGUGCCACUGAAAGCUCCCCCUUAGGCCUGUGGAACAUUUAACUCGAGCUCAGGGAAGCUGUGCUGGGGCACAGGAAGCUGCAUUGAAGCUGGCACGCUUGGAAGUGUUGGAAGCUUAGUUCCUUCUGUGUUGCUGUGACUGAAAAUCAAACUUGACUAAGCGGUGGUUGAUUUCAGGAUAGCUCAGCUCGUGUUGCUUGGUGGGUUAUUAAACAGCCAGAAUGUGAAACUGUGGAUGGCAGCUGUAGCUCCACAGUUUUCUGUAGCUGACAGCUUUCACUCUGCUUAACUCACUUUAAAACCUUCUUGAUGACUAGCUAGUACUGGAGAAAGGAAAAUUAAGACUACUAUUGCAGGCUUCCAACUCUGCCAUGAAGUUGCUUCCUCCUUCCUCCACCCCCAUUUCUGCAGCCACUGCUUUUGUGCUUUCCAGUUACCAUUCCUCACUCAGAAAGUUUGGGCAGGCAACUGGAGAAGAAAGACACGGGACUCAUGUGGCUUCUUACUGACAGAGAACUGAGCUGGAUUUCCCCUCUGAAAGAUACUUUUGCUUGACUCUACCUCCAGUUCCAGCUUAUUUGGGCUCUGGACUUCAGAGGUUCAGGAUAAGGGUCACUGCUUCCUUUCCCUGCAAUGCUACGUGAGAAGCCUGUGCCCCUCUGGCAUUCACUGCUCAGUUAAGCCAAAUGGUUUAAAGUGCUCCUAAAUGAACUAUCACAGUCCAUUUCAGGAUGGAUUUCAUUUUACCCCUCUUGUGUUGGCUCUCUUGAAGCUGGAGCAGGUGCUAUAUCAUAUUCUGAGAUACACUUCAGGAUAACCAGCACAAAAGAGAAUGCUGAAGGACUACAGUGGCCUGGAAGAUUCUGAUGACUUAAAUCAGCAGGGAAGGAGCAGCUCAAACUGAUGGAGUAGAGAAAAUCGCUCAGGCAAAGUUCAGAAGACAAAAGGCUCGUGUUUUGUUCGUGUCUAUAACUGAACACAAACAUUGGUGCGUGGAAUGGAACUGUGACAUUUUCAAAGCACGGAGAGAGACAGCAACUCAGCUAAUGAAAAGAAGCAACUGCACCCUUAAAACAUCGCCCUUCCACCUGCAGCACUUGUUCACAGGAAUUACAGAUUGCCAGAACUGCCAAACUUGCAAAAUGCUUGUGUCUAUUGCAAACAGUACUGGCCUUUACACUGCAAUUUUCAUAUUCAUGCUUGGUAGGUUAAGUUUCGAGACCAACAUUUUCAGUCUAUGCUUUUAUUUUCUUUUAAGGAACCUUGGACUUAGUCUACUGAAAAGGAAAUCUAUUUAAACUCCUUGAACAGUCUUCAGUGAUCAAACAGCAGCAAUAGACGUUUAUGAGAUUUAUGGGCCUUGUUGAUAUCAGGCUUAAUAUUUGGUUUAGGAAAUGUUCUAAGGUACUGAAAGAAUCUAUUAAAUCCAUUUCUUAGCCAGGCUAUUUGCAAAAGUAAAGAUUUUUGUAAGCAUUAAA